rnacentral:tRNA from 1 species
GGUUGUAGCUCAGUGGUAGAAUGCUUGCCCCUUAUGUGUGAGGUACUGGGUUCGAUUCUCAGCACCA